GCCCUGAAGGAUAGCUCAGUCAGUAGAGCAUGAGACUUAAUCUGAGGGUCAUGGGUUUGAGCCCCAUGUUGCGCA